AGUAAAAGGAUAAACAUAUUGAUCUUAAAACAGAUCAUUGUUCAAUAAUCACAUAAAGUGAGAGAAAGUCCAUUCAGACAAAAUGUCCAUAAAAAGGACAAUUCAGAUUAUUGAUCUAAAUGAUCAUUAGUAAUCAAGAGGUAACAAAUAUCACCAAUUCAAUGUUUUAGUAAUAUGGAAUAUGCAGUGAGUUAAAAAAGUGUCACAGAGAAAUUGUGACAUUAAUUAAACCUUUUACAAAAAGGAUAAACAUUUAGAUCUUAUAACAGAUCAGUUUUAAGUGAUCACACAUUAAAGUGAGUUAAAGUCAAUUAUGACAAUAUGUCCAUAAAAAGGACAGUUCAAGUUUCUGAUCAGUAUGAUCAAUAACAAUCAAAAGAUAACAGAUGUUACCAUAGAGUGUACUACCAAUACAUGAAGUACAGUGAGGUAUAAUAAUAAUUACUGAUGCAAUCAGAUAUGUUCAUGCAACAUGCAUGACAAGAUGUUCUCUUUCUUAACAUGAAAGAUAUUGUUGCUGUCAUUUCCUUAGGAAAUAUCAUCUUGAACCAAGAAAAACACAAAAUACAACCUUCUGUACACACAGAAGAACAAGUUCAUACAAUUUCAAAGAAUUCAGUCCAGUAAUCUUUGACCAAUGUGGUCAUCUGAGUUUGUCUGGUAGUAACUCCAGAAUGUAGGUGUCUACCAUGGCCUCCAGAGGGCGCUGUGGACUGAACUCUUGUCUUUAGUGAUGCUGGUCUGGACUGUGGAGCUCAGAAGAGAGAAGUCAGCCUCUCUCAGGUUCUUAUCAGACGAAGGCUGCAGCUUGUUGAAGUGGUUCAGCAGUCUUCUCUGGGGCUGUGUCUUCACCUGUUCCUUGGACAGGAAGUGUGUCACC